rnacentral:misc_RNA from 1 species
CCACAGGCCAAGCCCCCCGUUUAAAACAGGGAGAUACACGCCGUUUCUUACAGAAACCGUUGUCUAGGAUUAUAAUGUCUUUACCACUGGUUCCUCCCUUCACCCUGUCAACAAAAGCGCAGGAACAAUUGAUUGCCAGUCCAACCAAUCCUGCAAAUAUUCCACAUGCCCAAUGGGCAACUUCUUGAUUCUUUUUCUUUGUUUUCCCAUUGGUUGGUUCAAAAAACACUAUUAAAUGUGAAAUUUAAUUUUAUUUAUUUAUUUCCAAAGCUUCCGUAAUGACAUGUUCUUCUCCGUCUCCUUCUUCAUGACCUUUGCUACUGCCAUCUCAAAAUCUUCCUGUGUUACGUGGACCCUCCUCUCCCUUAGAGCAAACAUUCCUGCCUCCGUGCAAACAGCCUUCAGCUCUGCCCCAGAUGCACCAUUCAUCUUCUCUGCAAU